CAAUAGCGUAUAUUAAAGUUGUUGCAGUUAAAAAGCUCGUAGUUGAAUUUCUGUCAGGAGCGACCGGGCCUUUGGAUGAACUUCCAUUGUUUUUGCUCUGUUUGUCGUCUCUAGACAUCCUAAAUUACAUUUCUUGUAAUUUUCUUUUACUGUUAGCAAAAUAGAGUGUUCCAAGCAAAGCGUAGUUUUGAAUACAUUAGAAUGGAAUAAUAAGAUAGGACUUUGGUGCUAUUUUGUUGGUUUGCACACCAAGGUAAUGAUUAAUAGGGACAGUUGGGGGUAUUCGUAUUUAAUUGUCAGAGGUGAAAUUCUUGGAUUUAUGAAAGACGAACUACUGCGAAAGCAUUUACCAAGGAUGUUUNCAUUA
rnacentral:rRNA from 1 species